CUUCACUUAAAAGUGCAUAUAUCUGGGAAUGGGACAUACAUAACUUUUUGAACAAAUAAUGAAUUUUACAAAUUAACACACACAGUUAAGAUAUUUUAAGAGGCAAAGUUUUUCCAGGAAGUCAUCUAGACUGCAAUAGAUGACUCUUUACCUUUUCCCCACAGCCUCGGAUUAUCGAGGAGGGGCUCUGGCAGUCUUAAGACACAUCACAGUCUCUACCAGGAGACACUGAUGACAGUGAGGUCCGUGGAGAUGGCACUGGUCUCGAUGGUUCAGCCUGAAUAGACACAUUACUCGACUGGCUCUCCAAAUCAGAGGCAAAGGUGCUUUCUUCUCUUACAUCAAGAGUUUGUUCAACUGGGACUGCCGGCGAGUCACAAUUCUCCACAGUUUGGCUGGUGCUCAAGUCAUCAGCAAGUGCUGUAACGUCACAGUCCUUGUCCAGGACACCAAGCUCAUCUUCGAUUGUGACAACAUCUUUAGUUUCAAAUGCUCCAUCUUGUAUAGGCUGUGGAAGACUGCCAUUGCUACAUUCAAUACCCGCCUUUACUUCAGACUCUCCAUCGCUGUCACUGUCGAUGGUUAUAACCACCGGCGACCGUGAAGACAGAGCGUGGAGAUGACGCCCGGCUAACAUCACUGUCACCUGAACUGUACGACUGCUCUUGCUCCUGAGUCUUCACUGUCUCCACUUUCUCAUAAGGGCCCAACUCCUCAGAAUCAGAAGACAGUUCAACAAGUUCCGGGGUCCUUUCAGCCAAUGGCUUAACAAACCCAACAAUGACACAAUUAUCUGACGAUGAAUCACUGUCAUUAUUGACAUCGUCAUUGGUCUGUACUCCUUGUAUCUGAGAUGUGGUUCCUCCAGAGACAAGCUCUUCAUCUGAACUGUCUGAAGAAUUUAAAAGGGAAGACACGCCAACAUGCACUUGCUCUGAACUUGAAUAAGAUGGUCCAGGAGUUUCAUCAUCCCACGGUGCCUGCCUAACAGUAGAUGCAUUCAUAUCUAGCUCUUGAGUUUCAGCCUCAUCUGGUGAUAUUGUAAUGACUGAAGAAUCUGAACGGCUGCCUUCUUCAGAUGAAGGAGGGCAAUCAUAAUUAGCAUGCUGGUCAAAAGCUGCCAUAUUGAAGGGAGAUCUAGCAAAACUGAUAAAUUCAUGUAUAAAAUGCUCAGUUCGAUUAAGCAAAAAUGGUCUUAAGUCAGACACAAAUGCCUGACUCUCCAAAUCAUAGCGAGUAACAUUACUCAUGAUGAUGUGCUGGACGAUAUUGACUAGCGAACCAUGGGCUCCAAAAAGCACAGUAAGUUCACGCUUUAACCAAGGAACUAAUCUGUGAAGGCAAGCUGGAUUUCUACGGAAGAACUCAGCUGAAAUAUCCCUGUAGCGGCCACCAUCUUCAAUACUUCUAACUCGAACACCAGCACGAUAAAGAGUUCGCCUGAAAUUAAUAAUAUCUUGUUCUUGAAUUUUCCGCAAAGAUCUCUCAUCUGUAGUAGUUGGCCCCCUUAAUGCCAUUUGUCUCAUAAAUUGAGGAAUGUCAACAUCUCUAGGUCUUGUCGAAAUGCCUAACCCUUCAAACAGCACUCCACUAUCUGGUGGCGUGGUUGUUCUCCUACUUACAGUACUACUGGGUGAAUAAAGAGAGGCGCUCCGUUCUCUCGUCAUAGUUGUCCGGUAGCGAAACCUUCGAACCUCAGGGUUAGUAAAGGAACCAUUAUAGGAAGGCCUCAGGACAUACUCCUUGAAGUCAUCUUCAGCCCUCACUGAAUGGAAAAUAGAAUCAAAGGGCUGUUUACACAGUGGGCAUUCGGCUUUGUUUUUGGACCACUCUUGUACACAGCGAAAACAGAACUUAUGUAGGCAACGAUCUAAGUAAGACACAUUAUCAAAUCUAUCCAAGCAUAUAGGACACUUAGAAUCAGGAGACGCAUCAGCUGGUACUGUCUGCUGCAAUUUGCUAGUGCCAGCUUUAGGUGAAAAGUUGUCCAUUUUAAAUUCCUUAGCAGCUGAGGCCAUUAUCUGU
rnacentral:lncRNA from 1 species